rnacentral:rRNA from 1 species
GGCGAGUGGCGGACGGGUGAGUAAUGCGUAGGAAUCUACCUUAAAGUGGGGGACAACCCGAGGAAACUCGGGCUAAUACCGCAUAAUCUCUACGGAGUAAAGCAGGGGACCUUCGGGCCUUGCGCUUUAAGAUGAGCCUACGUCGGAUUAGCUUGUUGGUGAGGUAACGGCUUACCAAGGCGACGAUCCGUAGCUGGUCUGAGAGGACGAUCAGCCACACUGGGACUGAGACACGGCCCAG